rnacentral:rRNA from 1 species
GACGAACGCUGGCGGCGUGCCUAAUACAUGCAAGUCGAGCGGAUUGAUUCGGAGCUUGCUCCGAAGAUGUCAGCGGCGGACGGGUGAGUAACACGUGGGCAAUCUGCCCGACAGACUGGGAUAACGCUUGGAAACGAGUGCUAAUACCGGAUAGGCUCUUGGAUCGCAUGAUCUGAGAGGGAAAGAAGCUAUCGCUUCACUGUCGGAUGAGCCCGCGGCGCAUUAGCUAGUUGGUGAGGUAAUGGCUCACCAAGGCGACGAUGCGUAGCCGACCUGAGAGGGUGACCGGCCACACUGGGACUGAGACACGGCCCAGACUCCUACGGGAGGCAG